rnacentral:rRNA from 1 species
GGUUAAGCGACUAAGCGUACACGGUGGAUGCCUAGGCAGUCAGAGGCGAUGAAGGGCGUGCUAAUCUGCGAAAAGCGUCGGUAAGGUGAUAUGAACCGUUAUAACCGACGAUACCCGAAUGGGGAAACCCAGUGCAAUUCGUUGCACUAUUGCAUGGUGAAUACAUAGCCAUGCAAGGCGAACCGGGGGAACUGAAACAUCUAAGUACCCCGAGGAAAAGAAAUCAACCGAGAUUCCCCCAGUAGCGGCGAGCGAACGGGGAGGAGCCCAGAACCUGAAUCAGCAUAUGUGUUAGUGGAAGCGUCUGGAAAGUCGCACGGUACAGGGUGAUAGUCCCGUACACAAAAAUGCAUAUGUUGUGAGUUCGAUGAGUAGGGCGGGACACGUGACAUCCUGUCUGAAUAUGGGGGGACCAUCCUCCAAGGCUAAAUACUCCUGACUGACCGAUAGUGAACCAGUACCGUGAGGGAAAGGCGAAAAGAACCCCGGCGAGGGGAGUGAAAUAGAACCUGAAACCGUGUACGUACAAGCAGUGGGAGCACCUUCGUGGUGUGACUGCGUACCUUUUGUAUAAUGGGUCAGCGACUUAUAUUUUGUAGCAAGGUUAACCGAAUAGGGGAGCCGUAGGGAAACCGAGUCUUAACUGGGCGAAUAGUUGCAAGGUAUAGACCCGAAACCCGGUGAUCUAGCCAUGGGCAGGUUGAAGGUUGGGUAACACUAACUGGAGGACCGAACCGACUAAUGUUGAAAAAUUAGCGGAUGACUUGUGGCUGGGGGUGAAAGGCCAAUCAAACCGGGAGAUAGCUGGUUCUCCCCGAAAGCUAUUUAGGUAGCGCCUCGUGAACUCAUCUUCGGGGGUAGAGCACUGUUUCGGCUAGGGGGUCAUCCCGACUUACCAAACCGAUGCAAACUCCGAAUACCGAAGAAUGUUAUCACGGGAGACACACGGCGGGUGCUAACGUCCGUCGUGAAGAGGGAAACAACCCAGACCGCCAGCUAAGGUCCCAAAGUCAUGGUUAAGUGGGAAACGAUGUGGGAAGGCAUAGACAGCCAGGAUGUUGGCUUAGAAGCAGCCAUCAUUUAAAGAAAGCGUAAUAGCUCACUGGUCGAGUCGGCCUGCGCGGAAGAUGUAACGGGGCUAAACCAUGCACCGAAGCUGCGGCAGCGAC